CAAGUUCUUGGAGGUGCAGGAAGGUUCUCCAAGGAGUAGGACCAGAAAGGGAUGAGAGCGCGAGCGCGGUUAAUGUCGAGGCUGCUAAGUGAUGCUCGUUAAUUUCGCAGCAGGGUGUGACUGGCCCAGCCUUGACUCUCAGUUUCCUCUCUCAGUAAAUGGGCAUAAUAAUACCGGUCCAGCCUACGCUGGAGAAUUGUGAGGUGAAAAUGAAAUAAGCUAGGUGUGAUCAGGUGACUAAGUGCUGGCCAACAGUAUAUACUUGGAAGUCUUUCUUCUCCUCUUCUCCCUUCUUGCUGGCUGGAAUGUGUAUGUGAUGAGUGAAGUUUGAACAUCCAUAUUGCACUACAAGAUGAAGACCGCAUGCUAAAAAUGGUGGAGCAGCAAGACGGAAGUCUCCUGUAUCCCUGAUGAUUUUGUGAAGCCACCACUCCACCCUUGCACUGCCUAGCUCUGGAUUUAUUUUAUGUGUUGUUCCUGAAAGCACUCCCCCAUAAAACACCUGCAUGUGAAUCUCCAUCUUGAAGCCUGUUUCCUGGGAACCUGCCUAUAGCAUUGUCCUUUACCUAUUUCUCUGCAGUGCUACCUUUGUUUUAUUUUUAUUUAUUUAUUUAUUUAUUUAUUUUGAGAUAGGGUCUCACUCUGUC
rnacentral:lncRNA from 1 species